GAUGAACGCUGGCGGCGUGCUUAACACAUGCAAGUCGAACGAAGCACCUCUCCCGAAGAUUGACACAGCUUGCUGUAGAUUGAUUCAUUUGAGGUGACUGAGUGGCGGACGGAUGAGUAACGCGUGGGUAACCUGCCUCAUAGAGGGGGACAACAGUUGGAAACGACUGCUAAUAUCGCAUAGUAAGAAAGAUUCGCAUGUUUCUUUCUUGAAAGAUUUAUCGCUAUGAGAUGGACCCGCGUCUGAUUAGCUAGUUGGUAAGGUAACGGCUUACCAAGGCGACGAUCAGUAGCCGGCUUGAGAGAGUGAACGGCCACAUUGGGACUGAGACACGGCCCAAACUCCUACGGGAGGCAGCAGUGGGGAAUAUUGCACAAUGGGGGAAACCCUGAUGCAGCGACGCCGCGUGAGUGAAGAAGUAUUUCGGUAUGUAAAGCUCUAUCAGCAGGGAAGAUAAUGACGGUACCUGACUAAGAAGCCCCGGCUAACUACGUGCCAGCAGCCGCGGUAAUACGUAGGGGGCAAGCGUUAUCCGGAUUUACUGGGUGUAAAGGGUGCGUAGGUGGCAAGGCAAGUCAGAUGUGAAAGCCCGGGGCUCAACCCCGGUACUGCAUUUGAAACUGUCUAGCUAGAGUGCAGGAGAGGUAAGCGGAAUUCCUAGUGUAGCGGUGAAAUGCGUAGAUAUUAGGAGGAACACCAGUGGCGAAGGCGGCUUACUGGACUGUAACUGACACUGAGGCACGAAAGCGUGGGGAGCAAACAGGAUUAGAUACCCUGGUAGUCCACGCCGUAAACGAAAAAUAAUAGGUGUGGGGCCCCACAACGGCUUCGGUGCCGCAGCAAAAGCAUUAAGUAUUCCACCCUGGGGAGUACGUUCGCAAGAAUGAAACUCAAAGGAAUUGACGGGGACCCGCACAAGCGGUGGAGCAUGUGGUUUAAUUUGAAGCAACGCGAAGAACCUUACCAAGUCUUGACAUCCUUCUGACCGUUCCUUAGCCGGAACUUCCCUUCGGGGCAGAAGAGACAGGUGGUGCAUGGUUGUCGUCAGCUCGUGUCGUGAGAUGUUGGGUUAAGUCCCGCAACGAGCGCAACCCUUAUCCUUAGUAGCCAGCGGUUCGGCCGGGCACUCUGGGGAGACUGCCGGAGAUAAUCCGGAGGAAGGUGGGGAGGACGUCAAGUCCUCAUGGCCCUUACGUCCGGGGCUACACACGUGUUACAAUGGAAGGAACAGAGGGAAGCCACCUGGUGACAGGGCGCGGAUCCCGAAACCCUUUCCCAGUUCGGACUGGAGUCUGCAACCCGACUCCACGAAGCUGGAUUCGCUAGUAAUCGCGCAUCAGCCAUGGCGCGGUGAAUAAGUUCCCGGGCCUUGUACA
rnacentral:rRNA from 1 species